CUACGGGAGGCAGCAGUGGGGAAUAUUGGACAAUGGGCGAAAGCCUGAUCCAGCCAUGCCGCGUGAGUGAUGAAGGCCCUAGGGUUGUAAAGCUCUUUCGCACGCGACGAUAAUGACGGUAGCGUGAGAAGAAGCCCCGGCUAACUUCGUGCCAGCAGCCGCGGUAAUACGAAGGGGGCUAGCGUUGUUCGGAAUCACUGGGCGUAAAGCGCACGUAGGUGGAUUGUUAAGUCAGGGGUGAAAUCCCGAGGCUCAACCUCGGAACUGCCUCUGAUACUGGCAAUCUUUGAGUCCGGGAGAGGUGAGUGGAAUUCCGAGUGUAGAGGUGAAAUUCGUAGAUAUUCGGAAGAACACCAGUGGCGAAGGCGGCUCACUGGCCCGGUACUGACGCUGAGGUGCGAAAGCGUGGGGAGCAAACAGGAUUAGAAACCCCGGUAGUCC
rnacentral:rRNA from 1 species